AACCACCUGAUCCCAUCCCGAACUCAGCAGUGAAACGAUGCAUCGCCGAUGGUAGUGUGGGGUUUCCCCAUGUGAGAGUAGGUCAUCGUCAAGA
rnacentral:rRNA from 6 species